rnacentral:rRNA from 1 species
UACGAAGGGUGCAGGCGUUACUCGGAAUUACUGGGCGUAAAGCGUGCGUAGGUGGUUCGUUAAGUCUGAUGUGAAAGCCCUGGGCUCAACCUGGGAAUGGCAUUGGAAACUGGCGACCUAGAGUGCGGCAGAGGGGGGUGGAAUUCCGCGUGUAGCAGUGAAAUGCGUAGAGAUGCGGAGGAACACCGAUGGCGAAGGCAGCCCCCUGGGCUGACACUGACGCUCAGGCACGAAAGCGUGGGGAGCAAACAGG